UUCCGGUUGAUCCCGCCGGAGGUCACUGCUAUCGGGGUUCGAUUAAGCCAUGCGAGUCGAGAGGGUUCGGCCCUCGGCGUACUGCUCAGUAACACGUGGAUAACCUGCCCUAGGGAAGGGGAUAACCCCGGGAAACUGGGGAUAAUACCCUAUAGAUUACAGAUGCUGGAAUGCCCUGUAAUCCAAAGUUCCGACGCCCUAGGAUGGAUCUGCGGCCGAUUAGGUUGUUGUUGGGGUAAUGGCCCAACAAGCCCGUAAUCGGUACGGGUUGUGGGAGCAAGAGCCCGGAGUUGGAUUCUGAGACACGAAUCCAGGCCCUACGGGGCGCAGCAGGCGCGAAAACUUUACAAUGCGGGCAACCGUGAUAAGGGAACCUCGAGUGCCUGUAAAUGCAGGCUGUUCAGGUGCCUAAAACACACCUGAAGAAAGGGCCGGGCAAGACCGGUGCCAGCCGCCGCGGUAAUACCGGCGGCUCGAGUGGUGGCCGCUUUUAUUGGGCUUAAAGCGUUCGUAGCUGGGUUGUUAAGUCUCUUGGGAAAUCUGGCGGCUUAACCGUCAGGCGUCUAAGGGAUACUGGCAAUCUUGGAACCGGGAGAGGUGAGGGGUACUUCGGGGGUAGGAGUGAAAUCCUGUAAUCCUCGAGGGACCACCUGUGGCGAAGGCGCCUCACCAGAACGGCUUCGACGGUGAGGGACGAAAGCUGGGGGCACGAACCGGAUUAGAUACCCGGGUAGUCCCAGCCGUAAACUAUGCUCGCUAGGUGUCAGGCAUGGCGCGACCGUGUCUGGUGCCGCAGGGAAGCCGUGAAGCGAGCCACCUGGGAAGUACGGCCGCAAGGCUGAAACUUAAAGGAAUUGGCGGGGGAGCACAACAACGGGUGGAGCCUGCGGUUUAAUUGGACUCAACGCCGGACAACUCACCGGGGACGACAGCAAUAUGUAGGCCAGGCUGAAGACCUUGCCUGAAUCGCUGAGAGGAGGUGCAUGGCC
rnacentral:rRNA from 1 species